AACUACUUUUUUGACUUACGAAAAUGGAAAAUCAGCUGCUCGAGUUCAAGAUCAUCUUCGUCCUAAUGGUGCUCAUAGAUGGCACAACUACAUGAAAAGCCCAAAGUGUUUGCAGUAGAGUGUCUUGGUGUUGUUGGAGUUGAGUUUCCUCUUUUUCCAUCAUCUUAUAUUGCGAUUUAUAGAUGUCUUAUGAACUGCAAUGGUAUCUACUGCUACGUCGAUUUAUUGGGGGAUGUAGAAUUUAACACUCCUUAGCUGUAAAGUGGGACACUCUUUUAGGACUCGAGUACUUGCACUGAAUUAUCUCAGGGUCAAGCUGUGAGAUUAGUCCUAGUAAAAGUGUCUGCUGAAAUAAAAUGUAAAUAGAUUUGCAUUUUCCUAUGUAGUAAGAUAAAGAUUUCUAGUUAUGAGUAUUUAAUCAUUUGGAGGUCAAUCAUCAGUAAUUUCAGCUCAUUUGGAAAGAAAUAACAUAACAAUUACAUUUAAUCUUAGACUUGGCAGCAACUUAUAUACACUAUACCCAUGAAGAUACCCUUCUCACUUGUUUUAGAGAAGACUGCAAUAUUGCUUCCCUUUCAUAUUACCACUCUCUCAACUUCCACUUGCCAGUACUAGGUAACCAAAUAAUUUUAUUAUAGUGAUUUAUUUGUGAUCGAGGUGACUUGAUUGUAUAAAUAUCUUUUACGAUGUCAAGUAACUGUGCUGGUAAACUGAGUUUAAGAUGUGUGUGGCACUCCACACUUUUUCCUUUAGGAAGAUGGAGG